rnacentral:rRNA from 1 species
GACGAACGCUGGCGGCGUGCUUAACACAUGCAAGUCGAACGAAGAGCGAUGGAAGCUUGCUUCUAUCAAUCUUAGUGGCGCACGGGUGAGUAACGCGUAAUCAACCUGCCCUUCAGAGGGGGACAACAGUUGGAAACGACUGCUAAUACCGCAUACGAUCUAAUCUCGGCAUCGAGGAUAGAUGAAAGGUGGCCUCUACAUGUAAGCUAUCACUGAUGGAGGGGAUUGCGUCUGAUUAGCUAGUUGGAGGGGUAACGGCCCACCAAGGCGAUGAUCAGUAGCCGGUCUGAGAGGAUGAACGGCCACAUUGGGACUGAGACACGGCCCAGACUCCUACGGGAGGCAGCAGUGGGGAAUCUUCCGCAAUGGACGAAAGUCUGACGGAGCAACGCCGCGUGAGUGAUGACGGCCUUCGGGUUGUAAAGCUCUGUUAAUCGGGACGAAAGGCCUUCUUGCGAAUAGUGAGAAGGAUUGACGGUACCGGAAUAGAAAGCCACGGCUAACUACGUG